rnacentral:rRNA from 1 species
UACGUAGGGGGGCGAGCGUUGUCCGAAGUUACUGGGCGUAAAGAGUACGUAGGCGGCAGGGUAGGUUGCAUCUGAAAGAGGACAGCUCAACUGUCCGGUGAGGUGCAAGACCGCUCUGCUUGAGGCAAGCAAAAGAGUGUGGAACUCCGAGUGUAGCGGUGGAAUGCGUAGAGAUUCGGAAGAACACCCAUGGCGAAGGCAGCACUCUGGGCUUGACCUGACGCUGAGGUACGAAAGCCAGGGGAGCGAACGGG